rnacentral:rRNA from 1 species
AACGAACGCUGGCGGCAUGCCUAACACAUGCAAGUCGAACGAGACCUUCGGGUCUAGUGGCGCACGGGUGCGUAACGCGUGGGAAUCUGCCCUUUGCUUCGGAAUAACAGUUAGAAAUGACUGCUAAUACCGGAUGAUGUCUUCGGACCAAAGAUUUAUCGGCAAAGGAUGAGCCCGCGUAGGAUUAGGUAGUUGGUGGGUAAAGGCCUACCAAGCCGACGAUCCUUAGCUGGUCUGAGAGGAUGAUCAGCCACACUGGGACUGAGACACGGCCCAGACUCCUACGGGAGGCAGCAGUGGGGAAUAUUGGACAAUGGGCGCAAGCCUGAUCCAGCAAUGCCGCGUGAGUGAUGAAGGCCUCGGGUCGUAAAGCUCUUUACCAGGGAUGAUAAUGACAGUACCUGGAGAAUAAGACUCCGGCUAACUCCGUGCCAGCAGCCGCGGUAAU